rnacentral:lncRNA from 1 species
CUGUCGUCGUCCAACUGCGACCCGACUCUCUUCAAUUCGUCACAAGAGAAUUCCAUUUUGACGUGAACUUGCCGUUUCCUUUCUCUCUCUUUUUUUUUUUUUGUUGUUGUCAAUUAUUCGUUGGUUUGUAGGUAGCUGGAUAGGUUUGUCCUCUGCUAAAAGAAACACUAGCCAGGGUCAAUUACUAACGCCACUUUAAAAAAAAUACACCAUAUUUAAGGGUCAUUUGGAAGGGCUUCUCCCAAAAGGUUUCACCGACGAAGUCAAAGAAACUGGUCUCAUGUGGCAGAACCGUCCAAAUUAAACUGGUUUAAGUGCGCUAACUAUCCUCUUAAUAGUUAACCCGGUCAAUACGCACUUAAAACGGUGUAAUCUCGUAGUCUGUCGGGUCAAGUCCGAUUGAACCACUGAAUAUCUUGAUCGAAACAAUAUGCAACAAGUCUCACACGAAGGUGAGUGCAGACGAUACAACAUGAUAUUUCAAUUUACAAAUAUGGAGUACACAGAUUUAAUUUACAAACCGAGUUUGAAAUACUUAAAUAGAUUACAAACCAUAGAUUACAAACCAGAGUUCUUAAAUAAACACAUCAGAAGACUAAUACGAUAAGUUCGAACAAAGAUACAUGAUAACAUGAGUAACCCGACAACAUGUAAUCCAAACACAAGACCAUCUCAAAGUGAGGCCAGGACCCACUCAAUCGACCACCCUUCUAGCAGAGGACGGUCAUCCCAAGGUAGACUAGAACUCAUCUCAAGAAAGGUUUCUUCGCUAGCACCUAAAAGUAAUCAAGGAUGAGUAUACUAAUACUUUGCAAGACUUACCCGACUAUGGUAUUAUACUUAGCCGACUCCUAAUAUGCAAGGCUUUUGGUUGAGGGGUUUAUUUUGCCAAAAAGCAACAAAGAGUGGAUCCUUACUUUCAAGUUUUAGCAUCCACUUUAAAGUUGAACUUAACCAUUCUAAAUGAGCAAGUUGUCAAAAACUUUUCAGUGUAGAAAAACAUUUGAUUAGACAAUAGCUGCAUCAUCAUUCACAUUUCAUUCCAUUCCACUUCUUACUACGAUAUGACUCAGCGAUCGAGGUUCUCUUAACCGAGAGCGGUGGCGAAUCGAUUCGAUUUAUAAUAUUGUAAGGUGGACCUAGACACACGAUUUAUGCAUGCCCCGUCGAGCUGCAUAUGGCAAACGGUUCCCUUAAAGAGCGAUAGCAUUUGAGAACUCCUGCGACCCUCGAGUACUAAUCACCACCGGUACCUCCCCAGAUCAGAAGUGAGUUACUGACUAGCACACGAAUAGAAAACAGGACCAACUCAAUCUACUAUCGUGCAAUAAGGUACUAGAUUUUACCGAUUUCAACUACCUCUUACUUCUGGCAUGUGGAUAGUACAGUUCAAACUCAAUCAAAGGGGCCAAAACGAAUGGGCCUUAAGCAACACAGGCGGAGCGCAACCAACAACAAUAUCAUCAAUUUCAUUUCUAUCUCCACCUGAUCUCCAACUUUUCUCAUGUGCACCAUUUACUUUAGAUUUAAACCAUAACUAGUAGAGGAACCUAUAUUUCGCGAGUGACAGACACACUCGACUUUGAAAGGAUCUUGAUGUCACCUAGGGGGGGAAUAGGUAUACCCUAAAAUUAUCGCAACUUAAAAAUAAGUUUAUCAGCGACUUCCGGUAUUUCCAAAGAUGUUUCCGGAAAUUCCGUAACCUACGAAAUUUUCAAAGAAAUCUACGGAAAUUUUCGAAGCUAGGAGAGUAAGCACUUUUGAAGCGGAAUAAAACUCUCUCUACCAGAAAUUGGAACCUCCGAUUUUGGCUCGGGCAGAGAGAACCCCCAACACACAUAGUGGCAAAUGAGCUCGAGGUCCAACUAGACUUGGUGUAGAGGCUCAGUAGGUGUUUCUCAUCAGGCUCACAAAGUUGCUGCACUUUACAAACACAAACACCCGAGUAGAUCAACCAAAUUCACAAGUUCAAUAAUGAAUGAAAAUGAGAGCAAAUCAGCGAGGAGACACAAUGAUUUGUUUCACCGAAGUUCAGAUUCACCACUAUGAAUCCUACAUCUCCUUUGAGGAGCCCAUUGGAAUACGAGUCUACUCAACUUCCUUCCAAUGUGUCGGGUCUAAUUCAACCACUUUCCUCGUUUCCACUAGAUGACCUUUUUUGCUUGCGGAGGCAAGAUCGCAGCCUUCACAAACUUGCCGCUGCUCACCACACCUUUGGGAGCUAGCCGGCGACGCCUAGCCAUCUAGGAGGCACACAUCCAAGAAUAACAAAUGCUUCACUUGAAACUUAACAAGGCAAACGAGUAGGAGCUAGCCGGUGAUGCCUAGCCGUCUAGGAGGUACACCUCCAAGAGUAACAAUUGCUUCUCUUGAAACUUGACAAGGCAAACCAGUGCUCAAGGAACUGAGUGCUCUACUUAUGCUCACGAAUGGCUCCUCUCUGCUACCCAACUCACAAGAUCUAAUAAAGAUCACACAACAUCACAAAGAGGGGUUGUAGAGAGCUAUUUUGGCUUUAGUUUAGUUUAGAACAAGCAGAAAAUACAUAAGCAACCUCAGAAGCAGCAGCAAGCAACUAGAGAGGGCAUCGGGUAUAAAUACACGACCCCUAAAAAACUAGCCGUUAGUGUGUCAGACCAAAACCGGAACUACUGGUUUCCCAAAAACCAGAACCUCCGUUUUUUCAAACCAACUAGCCGUUAGUGACAUGUGGCACCCAUAGCCGUUAGUGACAUGUGGCACCCAAAACUGAAACUUCUUGUUUAUAAAAUCGGAGCUUCCGAUUUUUCCACUGUCUGACUCGACAGAGCGUGUACGUGUGGCUUUUGUGUCUCCCAUCAACUCACAUAGGAAACUUGAGCACUGAGACCUUUUCAAAUGACCCUCUUGAUAGUACAACAUACAUAUACUUAAGAUUAAAACAUAAACACACUAUUCCUUUACUCGAGUUUCAUCAUCAUGAACCAUGCCAUACUUGAUCAAUAUAUCCACUUGAGAGCUACAUCCAUUUUUGUCUCUUUGGUUUGAGCACUUCAACCUUGAGUUAGUGACUUGGAUCAAUAUUCAACACAUAUGAAUGAAAUCCAACUUUAGAUCACAAGUCACCCUUUAGAUGACUUGAUAAAUAUUUGAUGCAUCCCAUUGCUAUACUCGGUAAAGCUUGACUUGAUAUCUCGAAAUCCUCCAAGCACUAGCCACUUCACCCUAGCAAAGCUCAUGGUCACCACUUGACCAAAUUCCACUUAGUAAUCGCUGCCACAUUUGAGUCUAGCUUUGUUUUGACAUCAAGAAUGAAACCCACUUGAGAUCAUAUCUUCUUUUGAAUUGAAUAUUCCAUUUGUUGCUAACAAACUUCUCAUUUUAUUUAGAGAUCGAAGACUAACCCAAUGCCACUAUAUCUCUAUCUUCACCUUAAUUUGCUUGUCAUAUAUUACACAUAAACACCAUGGGAUUAUAUAAUAUUCAUUACUAUGACAUUCAUCUUCAAAUUAAGCAAUCUUGCACUAUGAGGCUAUCAACCAAAUCUCAACUCAUCUUUAACACCAUUGAUUACUUUUCAUGCUUAGAUGAACAAUGCCAUAUAUCAAACUUGUUCUUUUCACCAUAUGAGCCAUUUAAUAGAAUCUUUCCCCAAAAGAUUAUUCAUCAAUAAUAUUACACCUGCUCACAUGCUUAGCAAGUUCAUUAGACCUUUAAUCUAGUUGUCAUUCAACACACCAAAACCUACUAGGGGCCUAGAUGCUCUUUCAGACUUUUACCGUUCUUAAUUAAGCAUAGUAUUUCUAUGGAUCUACACAUACUAGUAUUUGAACUUGGGAGUCCUAGGGAUCAUGCAGCUAAGGUUUCAUUCAACUCCUAGGAACUUAAUGCAUAAUAGUAAAAUAUGUAAGUAAGAUAAUUGCAUAGUUUUGGAAUUAGUGAUCAUGCUCCGGUGCUUGCCUUCCAUGGUAGCUUUGAGAUCUCCUAAACUUUUGUUCAAGUCUUGUGACGCUUCAACUAGAGAGGCUUCACGCGACUCACUCUUGGACUCGGCAAUCAAUUCAUACAAUCCAUCAGCUAGCAGGUUAUCUACAUGACAAUGCAUAUGAAUGAGUUGAUUGAAAGGUGAUGACACAUGCACAACAUCAAGUUUAAGGAGUGCAGCAACUCAAUCGUACAUGGUUUAAAGAUCCAAGUAAAGCAUAAAACAUAAUGCCAUCUACACAAAGAAACAUGGUUGGUGCAAUAGAGUUAACUAGAGCUUUUCAUGUGAAACACAACUACCAAGCUAAGUCAACAAUAUUUCAGUAACCUUGGGUUGCAGCAUGGCAUGAACAUCAGGCUCUAACCAAGUGAUUAACAUGCCAUGAUGAUGGCAAGAUCUAAGUAAACACGUGUAUGAAUGGAACUAUGGUGACAACAUGCUAAAGACCAUAAAGAUUUUGGUAGCAACUUUUUCAGGGAUGAAUAUACUACUAAUGAAGAGCAUAAAAAUAAUUUAUGGGGUCACAAUUUUAGCAGUAAGUAUUUUUAAUAAAAUAAACUAGCUCACAACAAGAAUAAUUCUUCAGUAAGCAUUCGUUCCUAUAUGAACAUGAAUCAUUUACAGGAGCUCAGUCAUCAUACAAACACCUUGCUAUAAAAAUUGUAGCAUGAUUGGACUACCACAGAAUUUAAUAAAAAUCAAACAUGUUAUAACUGUAGAUAUGAGGAAUAAAUUAUAAAUACAGUUUUAUCCGACAUUUAGUUCUACAAAAUUCCUAGAAUAGUUUUCAACACUAAUAGAUUAUUGUGAUUUUAUCGGGAUUUUAGGAGUACCGGAGCUAUUUAUUCUAAAUUAAGAAGGUCAAACAACAUGCAUUUUAAUCAGCAACAGAAUCAUAUAUUUCACAUGAGCAAGUAUUUUACUAGGUAGAAAUGAGCAUAAUGAAACCGACAAAAUUUAGUUUGCAUUUUUAUCAUUUUUUCUAUGAUUUUAUAAGGAUUUCACAAGUUUCAGCCCCUUUCAACAAAACUAAGGACGAAAAAAGAAGAAGUACUUCUACAGUUACGCUCUUGAAAACAAACUUUACCAUCAGCUCUACCCUUCCCUUUACAAAACCGCCCUUAGAUCUAGCUCUUAGGCCCCUUGAAGAUUUCGCACCUAGCACUUAAAUCCUGCACUCUUACACAAAACUCCCCGAGCUUCUAUUUCCUUCACACACAACACCCCGUCCCCUUCCUCCUCCUCAGGUCACCCGUGCGCGCGCACGGCCAGCGGCGGUGGCGCAACCACGCCGGCACGGAGAUGGCUUUCCCCACCACAUCGACUACCCGAUAACCUUAUUUUCACCCUAGCUCACCUUCUCCCCUACUUAUUGCCUCGAAAACCUAGCCCUAAGGCUACCUAUGAUGAGCGGCGGCGGCACUCCGGCGGUGAGCGCGAAAUCGAGCGUGGCAACUAGCCUAACUCCAAGAAAUAGCAAGAGCAUCAUGACCAUGGGCUCACCAAAGCUUGUUUUGUGUAGUUUUUUGGAGAAGAGAGGAGCGGGAUGAUGGGAUUCGACGGUGAGGUGUGCCGGCAGCAAUGGCGGCCACUGGAGCUUCAAUCCCCAGCGCCUGGAGCUUCAAUCCCUAGCGCCUGGGACCAUGGAGCAGGGCAAGGAGAGGUGGAGGAGGUAUCCGAGCAGGUAAGGCAGGUGUGGGCGGUGGUGAUUUGAGAAUGGUGGGGUGGAGCUCGGAGAUUUUUGCCGGCGGAUAGAGCUUGCUCUAUUCGAGUUUUCUUGGGCUGGAGGAAGAAGAAGACUGAGACAGGGAGAAAAAGAGCCGGCUGGUUUGGAGAGGAUAAGGCCGGGCGAGCGACGGUUGGACGUGUCGAGUAAUGUCGGGAGGACGGCGAGCAUUGGAGCAAGGACGAUGCGAGGACGGCGCAGCAGUGGUGAGCGCGGUGCUGGCACGGACGUCAGCGGUAUGGCGCAGCGGAGCAAGUGGGCAGGGGCGUCGCAUCGGCUUGACCGACCCGCAGGGCCGUGCAGCGAUGGCCACGGAAGCCGACGCGUGGCGACGGCACCGCUCGCCGGCGACGCGAUGGCCGACGCGCGUCGUGCACAGGCAGGGGCAGUUGUGGUGCUCAUGACCAAGGACAGUGCAAGUCAACGACUUAAGCACGACUAUUGCUCUAACUUUUGCAUCCACUGUGUCUGGAAUUUCAGUGUUUGACCAUUUGAAUACUUAAACAUAGUUUUCAUGCUCCAAUAUCAUACUCCUUUGGGAGUAUAAAGAAAUAACUCAAAGUUUUAUAUUGGACCAAGUUAAGCGUUUAGGUAAAAUUAAUUUAAUCAUCACCAAACAAAGCUACUUUUAGAACUUCCAACACUUAGGAUUUUCUUAACAUUUCAUGGGUUUAAGCAAAUUUAAACGGGAAAAUUGUGUUUAUUUCUUGUUGAAAACGUAUUCAUGGAUCAGAAAUGAUUCAUUUGUCAUUAUGAACAAUGUUUGGCAUAAUUAUCAUAUUUUUCAUAUUUAUGCUUUUCAUUAAUAUUUAAAAGUAAAUCUAGCCUAAACUCUUCUAAGAAUGUAUUUUCAAAAGAGAACUAGCAUCUUAAGUGCUCAAGUGCUAACAACAAAUUUUAAAUGCAUUUUUGCAUGCAUGAUUAAUGUUACUACCAUGUUAAUUGCUAAGUGAGUGUCAUUAACACUAGGGGUGUUACACCUCACCCGAUUUCUAAUUUAUUUUAGCCCCGACUUACAAAAUAGUUUCACACUAUAGUGCGAGGUGAAGUUGAAGCCGAAAUAAACCCUGCCAAACAGGACGUUAGAUAGAUGUGCAUAUCUAGAUUUUGAAAAUCUAGUUCAAUUAAUCAAGCUACGUAUUGAAAAAAAAUAGUUCGAUUAAAGAGGAUCGGUGGUGACUAAGGAUUGGACUAAGAAUAGAGUUUAAACUAUUCUUUUAAAGGAACUAAAUAUUGAAAAGCUAAAUUUUGAAGGAGCCAUUUUAAAAAAUUACAACUAAGAAUUGAACUAAAGAGGGAAAGUCUCGGCUACUAUAUAUACGGUGACGCCAUUAGAUAGAGUUUAGCACUAAUAACUGAACUAAAGAGGAGGGUACAUAUUUUGACCUCAAUGCAUUGAGGGCAUUCUACUGAAUAUAGUGGUCAAAAUAGGACCAGUCUGGACUUUACCUUUUUUCAAUAGAAUCGGCAUCUCUUGUAUCUGUUUUUUUUUUCUAAAGGAUGAGUUAACGUUAAAGUUCAUUUACAAAGGUUAAUUUAUUUUCCUACGCAGGCUGUACAGGCCCUGAUCAAUGGCAGAUGGAUGAUUGAUGGAGCAGCUAGUUUGCACUAUCAGGGUCCCGACGAAGAAGAAUUGAAGAUGGGCGUUUUGUUACGACUUCGUCAGUAAAAUGAUGUUCCAUCUUGUUGGUCUUGUAUAUACCAGCAGAGUAACCAUUUGUUCAUCCGUUUCAUGUUUCCGCAAAACAAAAAUGUUAAUCCGUUUUAUGGACUGAAUGUUAAUCCGUCUGGAACUGGGAUCAUCGGUGUUGCCGUGGAUAGUGGUUACGCAAACUGCCCCAAGGAGAUUCUGCUGCACAGUACUGUUGUAGUCGUGUACCUUCUCUCGUGUUGGGCCUUGUAGUGUGAGUUCUUCGAUCUUGGGCCUUUGCGGCACGGAGGCCCAACCGGCCGUUUGCUCUCGUUUCUGGUCCUGGCUGGUCUGCUGGCUGGAUCCACCCACCCUAGCUUUGUUGUUUCUUGGGCGGCAGUUGCCAGCGCAGGUACACGGCGGCGCGGGGAGGCAUGUGGCCGCCAACUCACUAAGCUCGCCGGAUCGGAGGUUCCGCUUCCGAUGGCAACCAGCAACAUCCCUCGAACAUACCUGCAGGAAGACAAGGCACUUGAAGUUCAAAGCCUAAAACGCGGAUUCCAGAACUGGCAGAUCUGAGAAAAGCUAACAACUACACGCCAGUAACUGCCAACUCGCCGGCGCCCUAUGGCCAGCUAAACGCCACGGCUUGGAUCUUGCUGCCAUUCCAUGCAAGAAAUCCGGCUACUUUAGCAUACAAUUACACAUGAUAGUGGAGUGGUUACAUUACCAAGCUACUAUGUGUGUAUGGGUGGUUACAAUUUAGAAGAAGAUUUUAACGUAGGAAAAAAAAAGUCUAACGACGAGGGAUCUAUAUGUAUUGUAUUGUGACGUUUCAAGUCGGUCCGUGGCGGCGUGAAGUUUACGGUAGCGAUUGGUUGCCUGGCUAGAAUCUGGAGCCAGGCUAAUCCAAACUUGUCUAAUGCAGUGCAAUCUAUUUGUGUUUGGUUGCUUGCUCAGUCUAAGCCUGACUAGUCUAAGAUUAUGUUUGGUUGGCUGUCCAAUUUAUUAAGAUGAUCCUAUACAAGCCAUAGGUGAAGUUACCAUCAUAUUUCCCCUUCUCUUCUCCACCACCUCCGGCCAACCCUUCACUCCCCCGCAUGCUCCUCUCUCUCCUAAUGCCUCCGCCUCCUACUCUGGUCCCCUCGCCGCAGGUACCUACGAAGUAGUACGGCCACUCCCUCCUCUCCUCAUGCUGUAAGGUGAAAGAUGAUGAGCUUAAUCGAGAUCGUUGACUUCCAAAUCAAGCUCAACACCAUCCAAUUUCAGCUAGUGAACUUCUAAAUUGCGGUCACCACACUCCAAUUCGAGCUCCUCCGUGGUAAGAAUAGCAAACAACAAGGAGCGAAGGAGUACUACGGGACCGCGGCGAGCUCACGGAGUCACGGCAGCGGGUCUACUUGUGCGGCAGGCAAGGCGCGAGAACAUCCAGAUCCAUGACAAGCAGCCGCCGUGGCACCCGCGCGCGAACACCAAGGUGACGUCCAAGAAGCCGGGCUAACACGUUGCCACCAGUGCCAUCAAUACGGGAGGGGCAGAGUCCGCCGUGCUUAGAUCCGGUGCGAAUCAAGGUUCGGCCGAUCGCACGGGACGGGGAGGGUCGGCCGCGGUGGGCUCGGCGUGAAGGUAGCGACGCGGGACGGUGAAGGAAGGCGCGACACGAGAUGGCGGAGGAGGUACCCGACGCAGGAGGUGAGCAGAUACGCAAGUUCGAGCUAGACGAAGCCCACCUCCGUGGAUGCGACUUCCUCUCUUAUUUUCAGCUAGCCAGGCUAGGAGAGCCAUGGUGUAUAAGUUAGAUCUGAGCUCAUGCACCCAACCAAUCGUACCUAAAAUGCUAAAAUGCAUAAGUUAAGUGAAGCCGGGUGGAAGCUCACUACCACCUGGCGUGACCAUACAGCGACACCCCACCGCACCGCGAGCCACUCCGCACGCGCACCAACCCUCUCGGCCUCUCCGCUCCCCUCCCCACGGCCUCCACCCCCCCGACUCCUCCGCGGUCCAGUGCUCCAGUCACCUCCGCUUCUCGCUCCCCGUCUCGUCGCUUUCCCCUCUCCCCCGCCCGGGCGCCGCGGCCGCCCGACCAGGCCUCGGAGGCCCCUUCCGAUCCCACUUCCGCCGCCGACGUCGGAGCCGGCGGGCCGUAGGAGAGGUGCGCCCCUUCCUCCUUUCAUCAGUCGCUCUCAGUUGGUGCUCGGUCCCUGAACCCAGCAGUCUGUCGGCGCUACUCAGCUCUUCCCUUACCCUCGCUCCGGUGCUCCCCUCCGACUCCGAGCGCGCUUCUAGGGUGCCCGCGUGCCGGCGCGAUUCGGUGCGUCGCUUCUUAUACGCUUAUUUAGGAGAUGCAGAUCGGCCGCUGGUACAAUUGUAUGUGUGUUCGGACUUCGGAGAUGCCAAUGCUCUGAGCAAGCGCCUCGCUCUACUCCUAGUACUUAGUUCCCUUGAUAGGUGCAAGGAUCUAGCAGCGUUACCUAGGAUGCUUUAGCCGGCCUAGUGCUGCGCGGGCACAUCACUUGUAUGUAUUUCCAGGGCAAUGGUUUCAUUCUUUGGAUUACCUCGAAUAUGCAUACUUUUUUUAAGAAAUCAAGUGUGGCAUUUCGGGUUACAGUUGUGAUCCCUAUGCAUCAAACCGUCAAUGCAAGUAUAAUGCGUCUAUGAACUGAUGUAAUACCUGGAACAUACACAAUGGAAGAAUCUAUCUUGCAGCUAGAAAGGCGUAUACAAAAAAACAGGGCGUAUGAACUUGGGCUUAAGACAUUUUUUGCAGUUUUACUCUUCUGCCUGGUUACACACAUGUUUGAUCUUUUUUUUUCCUCAAUGCAGUAACCUAAAGAUCACACCUUUCGUUGUUUGGUUGCAGCUUGGAGAAUGCUUUACUGCUAUCGUUGAUGGUAGACUUGGUUUUCCACGACCACCUGGAAAUUUUGUUCGAGCUCCGUAGCUAGUAGCAACCAUUUUUUUUUGUCCAGGGGGACUACUGGACAACUUUCUGAGGUAUUUUUUUUUAUCUCAUACCUUAUUUUAUUUCCUUUUAUUUGUCUGCAUAUGAUAAUGUUGUGGAUGUGGGAGUUUCAGAACUAGUCCUAUUUACGUCUGCUUACUCGGAUUCUGAUACUUCUAAACUGUGCAGUUUCCAGUGAAUUAUGGGUGGAUUCUGCUGUUGCUUCAGUACUGAAGAUUUUGAGGAAUAUGUCCAUCCAAGCAACCCUAUCUAUAGGCAAUGCAUAUCCUUGAGGCAUUUUUUCCACAACAUUUUUGGCGGGGUAAUAUGCAUAACCGAUUCUUUGUAUUUUAUAGGCUCUAGUCAAAUAUCACAUAGUGUCACCGCUUACAUUUACAUGCGGGUUUGCUACUUAUGUUGUCUAUAGAACUGAUGAUAUGCUAGGAUUUUGUUCUCACAAUCGAUAAUAGCGUGUUGAUAUGAUCCAGUUCUUUGACUAUGCUUGCGAAGAGUUAGAUAUUAACCUAUAAUUUUCAACAGUCACGUCCGCUUUUCUUGUUUCUGUCAAGGGGUCAUGUACGCUGGCCAUGGCCUGGAUGCAUUAGCUUUAUUGAUCACAUGAUGUUCAAAGCUAACCUAUAUUGCAUUUUCUCAAGUAUAUUAGAUAGCCCAUAUAUUAGAUGGCACCGUUGAUGGAUAUUGGGUAAAAAGGAUACAAAAUUGUAGUGAACAUGCAAUAACUUUCUGAAGAUGACUAAAACUAGCUGAAAAGGUGAAACAUGGUCAAGGUAGAGGUUGAGGAACAUAUACGCUUGGCUAGAUAGAUACAUCGUAUACUUGUUAGUUAUGUUGUAGAUAAAUCAUAUACUUGUAAUGAAGCAAGUCCAUCUAGUUACAUUUUUGCCAGUCAAUUACCAGAGUUUGAUCUGUCCAUUAUCAUAUCUUUGGACUAUUACUUGUUAUAACUGUAGCAUUUCUAUUUCCUUGUUCUAUGUAGUAUACUGCAACAUUCCAGAGGCUUGAGUCUAGGCCGAGCAACCCAGCCCAAGGGGCUGCUCCAUUGGGAUCCACUAAUCCAAGUGCCAGCCUAAAUGACAAUUCACUGGAUGAAACUUAUCGCCUUGUUUCUAGACCACCCCCAUAUGAUACUGAUCCUAGAUAUGCCCGUGUUCAAAGAGAAGGCUUGGUAUCAAGGCGUGAGAAGUCCAUAAAUCUCGCACAGGAAGAGUCACUAGCCCUUAGACGCAACGCAAGCAGCUCAGGUAUUGAGCAUUUAGCUGCUCAGAAGAAACGGAGCAGCACUGAAAAUGAGGGUGAAUAUAAGGUCCAUCGUUCUGAAUCAACCAAGAGUUUGUCUGCAAAAGCUUAUAACAGCAGCUAUGCAGCUGUCGGUUCAGAAGAUGAGGAUGUCUGCCCUACUUGUCUGGAAGGUUUGUAUUCAUAUAGCUUUGUGUAAAUACAUAACAGUUUAUCUUGGUGUCUGAACAUAUUUUCCACCGAUUCAUUACGAUAAUUCCCUGUGCAGAAUAUACCCCGGACAAUCCGAAAAUUAUAACAAAAUGUUGUCACCAUUUUCAUCUUGGUUGUAUUUAUGAAUGGAUGGAGAGAAGUGAUACAUGUCCAAUGUGUGGAAAGGUAUGAUACUGAUAGUUCGGCAUUUAUAGUUUUCAAAUCUCAAUCGAAGAUCAUAAUUGCUAAUCACUCAUCAUCAGUUUCUAAGGAGGAGUAAUUUUAUGAUACCGAGCUGACAAUUUAUCCCUCAAUCUGAUAACACUGCAGGAAAUGGAGUUUUGCGAGAGCCCAUGAUAGACAUUUGUUUUACAUGAUCUCACAUCAGAGGAAGGGAAAUGGUCUACAGUAUGGAAUGCUGGGGAAUUGUAAAUAAUAGUAAUGAGCCGUCCAAAUAGAUCUCUUUCGCGAGAUCAGUUUCUUACAUGUACUGAAAUGAUGAUCUAUAUCUUACUAAAAUUCGUGCUGGAAUUUGCUUGCCCAAUCUUUGGUUAUAUUUUCAAAUGGUAGUUCAAGAAUGGAAGCACAGAUUAACCUGAUCUUAAUAGUGAUUGCCUGGUGGGUUCUGUAGCCUAUCUGAUGGUGCCUCCUACUGAAGUGCGUAAAAUGCUCAGCUCAUCUUGCUGCAAAGCAUUCGAUGGUUGCCUAAAGCGUCUUUCCUAAAGACAAUUGGUCGCAGAAUAUAAUCGCAAGCCAUGAACUUAAGUGUUUCGCAAUGGCAAUUUGCAAGAGUAGCAGCCAUCAGGCCUUCAGGCACCGUUUUUAGCCCUUUUUUUAAUCUAAAUCUUAAUAAAAACACCCAUAAAGCUAGAUUUUAAGAAGAUUCAAGAGGGCAGCUGUCACGAGGAGAUUAGUGUGACCCUAAAUUAUCACAAGCAGUUUGGCACGACUCACCUCUUGAGUCUUGUCAAGUUGAUCAGCAUAAAUAAUAGUUUUGCAUGUACUAUUAUUGAAAUUUUAUUAGGUUAAAAAUGGAUAAAAUUUAAAAUUAUUCACUGCCUCAUCAGAGAUUCAAGAAUCGCAGUGUCAUGGGUAAAACAAAAUGUAUCUUAGACAAACAUUAUAUAAAACAAACAUGAUAUAUCCAGACAAAUAAUCUGCUCAAAAAUUAUUUAUCGAAUAGCGCAUAGCAGUUACAAGCCAUGAACAUUGGUUACACAAUGACAGCCAGGCAAGCCUAGAAUACAAAGCCGAUUCAGAAAAUUGAGCGCAACCGUACACUCACAAAACUAAGAGGAGAACCAGCAAGCUAGCAUUUUAUUUUGUAAUCGUUCACCGGCGGGUACCAAUUCAUUUCAGUUUUACACACUUGCCGUCUUGAGGCUAUUGCCCUUCUCCUGCAGGCUCACAAGUAGGCUGUCAAAGCUCUUUUUGAACGAGUCUACGCCUUCCAGCUCAAGCUGCUUCCCGACCUCAUCCCAGUCGAUGCCAAGCUUCUCCAGGGCACUGUACACACCUUCCGCCUCAGACACAUUCGCAUCAACUGUCCUAGAAACAGUGCCAUGGUCAAUGAAUGCCUGCAGCGCUUGGUCGGGCAUUGUGUUGACCUGAAAGCAGAAGGGAAUAGCUCAUGUUUAGCAUCACUCUAAGGCCACACUUUGCAUGAUGAUAGAAAGAGAACCUAUCUACGAUUCAAACAAAUUCGAUCUAGGAUGCUCAUCGUGCAAACACACCGUGUCGGGUCCAAUCAGACUGUCCACAUAAAGGGUGUCAGGAUAAGCAGGGUUCUUGACGCCAGUGGAUGCCCACAACAACCUCUGUUUCUUGGCACCUUUCUUGGCCAAAGCCUCCCAUCUUGGUCCAGAGAAUUUCUUCUGGUAGAGCUGAUUUGCUAGUUUCGCCUGUGCUACAGCAGCCUGGCAGAAAAUAGGGAAGUCAUAUUACAGAAAUUCAUGGACAAUUUAGUAAGUCCUAAUAUUAAGAGGCAGGCAACUUUUAUUUUAUUUACCUUUCCUCUAAGGGCAAGCGCCUCAGGUGUUCCAAUCUUCUCUAGCAUUUUGUCAAUAAGGCUGUCAACUCGGCUGACAAAGAAGGAUGCAACACUGGUAACUCGAGAUAAGUCACUCAAACCAGAAGCCUCUAGCCCAUCAAGGUAAGCAUCAAUCACGGCCUCAUAUCUUGCAAUAGAGAAAAUAAGCUGCAGUGACAGCAAUGAACAUGUCAUCAAUAAGCUUAUGAAAGCAGUUCUGCAAGACGUAGUUUUACCACAACAAUACCAUAAGAAGGCAAUGUCAAGACAACUCGAUACUUACUGUGACAUUGACGCUAAUGCCAUUAGAGAUGACUUCCCGGAUAGAAGGAACACAUUCCGCGGUAGCAGGGAUCUUUAUGUAGACAUUGGGGCGGUUGACCACUUUGUGCAACCACUUUGCGGCCUCAACUGUUCCCUGAGUGUCAUUUGCCAACCUAGGAGACACUUCCACAGAGACAUACCCAUCAGCUCCAUCUGUCUCGUUGUAGAUAGGCUCAAAAAGUUUACAUGCGUCUUGUAUGUCCUUUAUAACGAGUUCCCAGUAAGCACUCUCUGCAUCCUUUCCAGCUGAAAUGAGCUGCUUGAACUGAUCAUCAUAUGCGCUUGAUGACGAAAUGGCUUUCUGGAAAAUCUGCAUCGUGUCGAGACAGGGUUAGGAGUGAAGAUGCAAAUAUGCAAGUGAUCAUACAAUAUGCACCAAAAAAAGGUGGAAAUGGAGUAUUACCGUAGGGUUGCUGGUGACUCCACGAACACCACUGGCGAUAAAGGGCAGCAAGUCGGUGACAGGCCGGCAGAGGUUGUCGUACCAUGGGGACAGGCCCUGGAGCUCAUAGAGAUCAUGAAGUGAGGUCCUCUUGGUCGGAGCACCAUUCCCUUCCUUGGCAGAAGCCAUCGCACUGAAAAUUGCAUUUCACCAAGUAAGGUCAUGUUCACAAGCUAGUUGAAUUGCAAAAAUGAUGAUGAUGAUAUGUGUGAUGAAUUGUUCUAAGUUCAUAUGAGAAGACCACAAUACAAUCAAUUCAGGGAGCUCAUAAAGCUUAUAUCACUGCUAGUAGGUAGUAAAUAUGCAUCCAAGUGACAUAGUAGACCUAUAUAUCUUUUUUUUUAGAGUUCCAGGGCAACCACCCCAGGAACUCUAUCAAGAGACCCAUAUAUAUAUAUAUAUAUAUAUAUAUAUAUAUAUAUAUAUAUAUAUAUAUAUAUAUAUAUAUAUAUAUAUAUAUAUAUAUAUAUAUAUAUAUAUAUAUAUAUAUUCUUUUCUGAAAAGAAAAUAUCUAUCAGUUUCAUACUACCACUCUCUACCACAUACCCAAAAGGCAUUUCUGUUGAAGGCAGAAAGAGGUAUGAAAACUAAAAUUCUUUUGACGCUAAUAGAAAGCGUUGCUACUUUUUGGCUGGCGUGUGGCUGCUAUCAAGAGGUCUACAGAAGCAGCAAGUCAGCGACUCAGGUGUGCAGCCGUGAUGCAGCAUGCAACCAGCUCCCGGCACGGCACCUAAAUAGGAGCGCUUGGCCACCCCCAACUCCACACGGAUUCUGCACCAGCCCGGCGACUCGAGAAGCUGGUAUGCCAGAAGCCUCUCCACCGUCCAUUUCCCGAUCGAACGGCCGCAGAAACGGACAGGCUUCAGAACCGGAUCCGAGCGUCUCUAUCGCCACAUCUGGCGGCGUGGCGGGCUACGCCACGCAUCGACGCGGCGGAGCAUCAACCCGCGACCCAACCUUCGAUGCUACCGAUCUCCCAUCCAAAGCACGCAGAGACGAACAGCUCGAAUCUAAUCAAACCUCGCCAAUAUCAAUCACCCACCCAAGCACGCACGCGGAUGCAAAGGCUACUUCAAUCAAACCGCAAAUCUAAUCUCACUGAUGCGGCACGGGCGAGGAAGAGGAGAGGGGAAGGAAGGUGGCGUUACGCACAUGAUGGGGCUCCUGGCGCGGCCGGCGAUGGAGACGCGGAACCGGCGGGCGGAGGGGGCAAACCCGAGGGCGGCUGGGCGGAGGGACGCCGGGGGGAGCAGCGCCGCCGCCGGCCGGGGCGCCGCCAGCUUGGACACCGUGCCGCUCAUCGCCGCCGGGGUUGGUGAGAACUGCAAGGAAGGGAAGUGGGGAUGGAUGGGUGGGGUUGGUCGCUCACGGGGGUUGUUGCGAGGUUUUGGAGCUGAGAUUGAGACGAGGUCCUCUAUUGCUCGUCAGCAUCAAUUUAAGUAGGCGCAUUAUCUGUUUUCGCCUGCCGUUUUUGCGCUUAGACCCCUUGAUAUUUGUGUAUUCGUUCUUUACUACGUUCACAUAUUGUUCUUUUUCCAAACAUGAAAAAUCAACAUGAUGCCUAUUUAGAACGCACACAUUUUUCACAUGAAUAUUUUUAGGAAAAGUAGUACCAUUGUACCAAUAGAAAAAAACCAUUGGGGGGUCCUUGCUAAUCGUUAUUGUGCAUCUUAUAUUCUUCAUCCCCCUUUAAAAUGCUCAGCUUAGCAUUUUCUAUAUCCAUUUGUACAUUUUUUACGAACUUGAAUGCACAGCUCAUCCCAGGCGCAACAAUGUAAGAAAGAUUAAUAUUUGAUGUGUUCUAUAAAAUGCAACCAAUGUAAAUGCACUUACACAGCUGUCAAGUCGUCUUCGACACCCUUGAAAACGACAUCAGGUUGGAGGUAGCUCCUCUUUGACAAUGAUAGGAGGAAAUGGCGAAAUAGUUGAGCUAGAUCCACCUGGUAAAGGUCAGAUGUGUCUUUUGCUUUGAAAGGGAAAAAAAAAAGCGGAGAGUGUGAACCAAAUGAGAAGAGGAAUCGGUUGGUCAUUGGUCGUGUUUUUGAUACAUGGGUUGUUGAAGAUAUUUUUGCCAUUUCACAUCGGCCAAAGUAUCCAGAAAACAGAAAUGAAAGGAAGGCACGAUGCAUGCCGGUCCCUAGGUUUCCUCGUAUUGACGCGCCGGGUUGUGCCGUCGCAAUGACGGAAGAAAAGCGCCCCUUGGACCGUGGAAAAGUCCAAACGAUCCUGGCUGCUACGCAUGCUUAGCAGUCAGCCCCCAGCGAUGAACGCAGGGCGUCAGCUGGCUGGUGGGACGUCGGAGGCGGCUACCAGACUUGCUACGAUGCUACCCUAAACCUAAGUUUAUAAGUCGUCUAGUUCUCUUCCUCUUUUAUUUUUUCUUUUAUUUUCUGUUUUGAAUUUUAGAAAUCGUUUUCAGUGCGUUCCGGCAGCUGCUAGCCUCUGCUACGAUCCUCCUCUAAACUCUAAGUUCACAAGUCGUCAAGUUCUCUUCCUCUUUUAUUUUUUCUUUUAUUUUCUAUUUUGGUUUUCAGAAAUCGUUUUCAGGGCGUUCUGGCGGCUGCUAGCCUCUGCUACGAUUCUACCCUAAACCCUAAGUUCACAAGUCGUCAAGUUCUCUUCCUCUUUUAUUUUUUGUUUUAGUUUUCAGAAAUCGUUUUCAGGCGUUCCGGCGGCUGCUAGCCUCUGCUACGAUCCUACCCUAAACCCUAAGUUCACAAGUCGUCAAGUUCUCCUCCUCUUUUAUUUUUUCUUUUAUUUUCUGUUUUGGUUUUCAGAAAUCGUUUUCAGGACGUUCCGACGGCUGCUAGCCUCUGCUACGAUCCUACCCUAAACCCUAAGUUCACAAGUCGUCAAGUUCUCUUCCUCUUUUAUUUUUUCUUUUAUUUUCUGUUUUGCUUUUCAGAAAGCGUUUUCAGUGCGUUAACGCGAAAUGCAGAUGAUGGAAUUUGAAGAGGAGAAACCCUGGCAGAGGUGCAGAAACAGAAACUAGUAAAUGGACGGACUCAAACUCUCGUCCACCUGAGCGCAGGCGGGGACAGACCCUUCGCUGUGCUUGAGCUGUGAAGCAGGGCAAGCUCCAUCCAUGGGGCGUGGUGAGUGAAACUUGACCCAUCCCAAGGGCCAACUUGCCCUUUGGCCGCUCUGCAGUGGCCGUGCUUCUCGUGCUCCUGACCCGGGGCGCGCAAGCUGCGGCGACCUGCCUCCGAUCGGGCUCUUCAGAGUCCUACUCCAUCUCCUCCUCUCCAAAUCUGAACAGUUGCCGGCAGCGGCGUUUGCCGGUGCCCCAACUGGCAACUGAAAGAACAUCCAGGUCUUCAGCUGUUCAGAGUUUGUCCGGUCUUUCCCUUUUUCUCCUUUGCUUGCAAAGAUCCUCCUUUUUCCUCUGUUGCAGAGCUGCUCUUCGGAUUGACCAACUUCUAGUUCUACCCCACACAAUCAUCCUCUGAACCUGAAACUGCUUUUCAGGUGCACCGGAAUUCAGAGCGCAGGAGCAACUGAAACUGUCAGAUGGACAGAUGAGUUCAAAGGGGAGAGGGAAAAAAAACGUCAAGCAAAGCAGAACAGGUUAGAGGUGUUUGGAUCCUUGAGCUAAAGUUUAAUCCGUGUCACAUCGAAUCUUCGGAGGCUAAUUAGGAGAACUAAAUAUGAGUUAAUUAUAAAACUAAUUACACAGAUGGAGACUAAUUCACGAGACGAAUCUAUUAAGCCUAAUUAAUCCAUCAUUAGCAAAUGGUUACUGUAGCAGCACAUUGUCAAAUCAUGACUAAUUAGGCUUAAAAGAUUCAUCUCGCGAAUUAACCUCCAUAUGUGCAAUGAGUUUUGUAAUUAGUCUAUGUUUAAUACUUCUAAUUAAUAUCUAAACAUUCGAUGUGACAGGGACUAAACUUUAGUCCUGGAACCUUAGUUAGCUCGAUUUACAAACACUAAAUCACAUUGCAACCAUCGAUGCAGUGACCACUAAAUCUAAAUCACACAAGGCUGCCUCUCGUACCUCCUGACAAAUCUCGCUCUAUAUUGCUGCUGCAUGUAAACUGGUCGUGCAAAAACUAAUGCGUGAUCCAUCCAUCCAUGGAUCGAUGUAAAAGAAAACAAAAAAGAACAUGAACAAAUGCAGACGCAACAAACGCAAAUGGCUCUGUGUCGUCUACCACGGCUUGAGGUCGUUCUCGAGCCCGGCGUCCCAGUCCAGCACCUUCUCCCCGGGCUCCAGGAACACGCCCUUGCCGUGCGGCAGCUUGCGCGCCAGCCCGUUGAGUAUCUGGUCGAAGGCGUCCCCGGGCCUGGCGGGCUGGUGGAAGAGCAGCGCCUGCUUCACGGACGCGCCGGCGAGCAGCCGCUGCUUCCGGAGGAUGUCCUCCAGCGGGAUGGAGGUGAGGAUGUUGUCGAGCCGCGGCACGUCGCGCUCCGCCACGAACACGCUGAUCUCCUCCCAGGGGAUGGCGUCCGCGAACGGCAGCACGAUGUCGUCGGCGAUGAUCACCGGGAUGCAGCCGAACACCACCGCCUCCACCAGCCGGGGGCUCCAUGGCGCCCAACCCAGCGGGCACAGGCAGAAGAUGGCGCGCUGCAUGUCCUCGUAGUACGUCGACGGGUGCUCCGUCGAGAUGUCGAACAGCGGGUUGUCCUUGAAGUUCUCCCACACCGACGCGCGCGCGCCCCUGCAUCAUCAGGUAAGGCCAUGGUCAAUCACGUUAUCUACAAGCAGCUUAACUAUUUGCAUCAAUGUUGGAACGGCAAGAAAUUAAGCAUGAAAAAACGUGGAUUACCUCGCGUAGUAGCCGCCCUCGGGGUCGUUGCCCAUGUCGUAGAAGAGGCCGCGGAAGUAGACGAAGAUGGAGCGCGGCGUGCCGGGGUUGAUCAGGUGCGCCUGCAUCUUGUGCGGGUUGGCGUAGGGCGGGAUGGUGAUGGACCCGUCCUGCAGGCACACGUGGUUCCGCUGCCCGAACGUCUGCACCAGCGUCGCGCGCCGGAGCAGCGGCAGGAUGCCCCUCUCCAUCGCCCUCUCCUCCUGAAACCACAAGCCAAGUGCCAAUCAGUUCACUAUUUCUUUUCAGCUCUGCAGCCUGUCUCCGGCAACGCACACACACCUGGUAGUGGAAGCAUGCGCCGAAGUCGUGGGGCGUGAGGAAGAAGUGGUCGGCGCCCUCGGUCCUGUUCCAGUAGGGCCACGUCGUGGCGACGUACUUGAUGGCGCUGCGCAUGAUCCGCGGCGCCCGGAACGGGAGGGGGAACCCCUGCGGCGUGAGGUCGCAGGUGGUGUACGCGGGGGUGUAGAACCAGUCGGCCUCCUCGGGGUCCAGCGUACGCACCGCGCUGUUCAGCAAGAACUGGUGCAUGAAGAUCUCGGCGGCGAACAUGUGGUGCAGACACCGGCUGUCCUUGGCCAGCAGCAUCAGGUUGUACUUGCGAGGCAUCUCGUACACGAACACCUUCAGCUUCCCCACCGGGUUGUCGUCAAGCACGCCGCCGGCGGCCCCUGCUCACAUCGUUCGUUCAUUCAGGUUAGUAAAUCGUCUCGCAUGCAGUUCUUUCUGCACAAGUACUGUUUGAAUGUUAAGCUUUUAUAACAUGCUGUAAUGAUUUGAACUGUCUUGAGCAAUGCAAUGAUCAGGGAAUUCGCCCUAGUACCCUACAUACUCUGAAAAGGUUCUUUCUUCAGGAAUAAACGAAUUCAUGUAGCUGAUAUUAUCAAUAUUCAAUGCACUGUGCUAAAAUAUGCAGAGUGGUCAGAUCUUUACAGAACAAGUUUCAGUACUAACAGGGUUUCAGAUUUCAGAAAAGGCAAACACAGAGAUGUUUCAGUUAAUGAUGCAAGAAAUCACUAGUGAUGGGUACAAUUGUUGGUGGAGUCGUUGCUUUCGGCAGUCCACCAACCACGAAAUUUGAACUUUAAUCAAUAAAAUACCGAUCCCUUUCAAGUGGUCUCUACUUUAACGAUACGUUGUUCUUAUCCCUUUCUUUAUCGGUACUAAUCUGGUCGUUAGCAUGUCCGGUUCAAGGGAAAAAAAAUCGUUUGAAAGCGCCAGUGGUCAGUUGAGUGAGUGGAUGGCCACCGCUCGAUCUAGCUGCCACUUAUCCUUUCUUUAUAGUUAUACCACUUCAAGCUCUUGCAUAGUUGCAUUGCAGGCCCUAAAAUGCAGCUAAUUAAAUUAAACCCAAUCUUGCUGGUGCCGCGCCACACUACAGUAGUUCUCCCCGCAAGAGAUGCCUAUUCUGGAAGCUGUUGCUUCGUGGACGCGUGACUGCGAAGAAGAUGGUACAGAGCUAGAGAUCUGAACCAUCAUCCACACUGAUGAUGAUGCGAUGCAAUGUAGGAUCAGGGAAAGCUACGAAGCAAAGCAAUGAAGCAUGAUGCAAUGCAAUGGCCGCUUCAAAACAAUUGAUGCAAUGCAAUGGUUUAAGCUUCACUUCAGCAACCAAUUAAUCUGUUGCAGAAAGCAAUGCUAAGCAAGCACUGCUUGAUCCAUUGCAGACGCAGGCAUUUUACUCCUACAGUAAUGCUAGUGGUUACUAGUUGCUGGCUUGCUGCUACCAGAGCAGGUACAGCUCUGUACAGUUGGUGUGAGGGCAGCGGCCACAUGGUGGAUCACAGGGGCGCGAGCCGCACACGGCAGCCGGUUAGAGACAGCCACCACGAUUGAUUGAUCCCAGAAGAGGCUGUUGAUUCCCAGCUGCGUGCGCGGCGGUGGAAGCCAGAGCCAAGCGGCGUCCGCCGGGGGUAGGGAGGGACCAUCGGAAUGCGGUGGCAGCGAGCACGAAACCCGGAUCAAAAUCGAAGCGUGAGCUGUCGGGCGCACGGAUCACAACCUCACAGGGCGGCGAGCCGCGAGCCAGCGCAACCAAUUCCGUCCAAACCAGGCGGCGGCGGCGGCGGCGGCAUUGCAGUUUGGAGGCGGCGGGACUGCCAAAUCUGAAUCUCGAGGGGGGCACCCUCGCGCGCCCGCCGGCCGCGAGCGAAUUCAAAAUCUAGGAGGAGGAUGCGAAGCGGGCGGCGCGUACCUGAGAUCCUUGCGCGCUCGUGCUGCUGCCGCUGCGGCGGCGCCGCCGCGGCGACGCAGGAGACGACGAGCAGAACCGCGGCGGCCGCCGCCGCGGCGGGCCACGGCCUCCGGCCCCGCCCCAUUGGCCUUGAUCCUGCCGCGGGCGCCGCCCCGGAGUUGACCGAAUCAAGCAGCUAGCGGCUAGCGCUCUCCCCUCCUGCUCGUGCUGCCGCUGCGGCCGUGCGUGUGGAGCUCGAGCGCCGGGCGGCAGCGAAGUGGUGCCGGGAUACUUGUCGCUGGGGAGCGCUUUGUCGUCGUCCUCCGCUGUGCCUGUGCUGGUAGGCUGUCGUUGUCAGGCCCCGAUGGCGCGGCCCGUGGAGGGGAGGGGAGUAGUAGAAUAGGAGGUGAGGAGGCGGGGUAGUCAAGGCCGCGGCGACGGCGAGCCAAUGGAGGGGGUGCAGCUGCGGAAUUGGAAGCGGAAUCUGCUGCUGGUGCUCUCGCACGCACGCAGGCACGCAGGGAGAGAGCGAGCUGGCGGGGGAAGAAGAGGAGAAAAGAAAAAGGAAAAGGAGGAGAGGGUGCAGCGCAGCAGCUACAUGGCUCGCACGCGGCGGGUGGCGUGAUACGAAAACAAGGGGGGCGCGCGGGGCGACCCGACCGACCGGGUCCGCGUCCGAGGCCAAACCAAUUGCUUCUUGCAAAGGCUUAUCGGCUCGGCAUGUGCUCGUGCUACGCAGUUGCUAGGAGCAGCAGGCAGGCCCAACUUGCGUCGCUAAUCAUGUGGCCAGGGCCAGGCUUGAGUAACCAAGUCACCCUACGCACCUGCGCUAAUCAUGUUUGCUUGCUACAGCGAUGCAGCCUCCUUUUGGGUACCGUUCCUGCUGUAUUUUUUUAAUUGUAAAGUCUGAUGAAUAAAAGCGAUAAUGUUAGAGAUGGGCUAACGAUUUUUUUUUUAUACGUUCGUAGAAAUGAGCUGCACGCGUUGGAGCUGGACACACGACGCCCCUCGAGAGCCAAACCUUUGCUGUAAACACGAAUCAGUGCAGCAAACCCUUGGCUCCCUGAGUAAUCGAGUCAGCAGCCAGCACAGGCUACGGCGAUCAUGUUUAGAUUCCAUGGCCGCUAAGACAGGAACGUAUUUUGAACGUAGUGCUGGACUGAAGCAUCUUUGGAAAUGGCUUUUAGAUUCCAUGUUUGUACAUAUACACAUAUCCAAACUAGAUUGGCUACACGUGGUGGAAACAGCUCCUUUUCUUUUCUUUUCCUUUCUUUCUUUGGAAAAGCGCGCUUGAUUGGAUUUGAUCAGCAACCUUGGCCGGCCGCGUCCAAUCACGGAGAGGCGUGCCUUGCGGUCACCUGCUCGAUCGGCUUCUCCUGCCGCGAGCGUGAGGCCGAGGUGUAAAGAGGAGAGACCAACUGACCGAGCAAAAGCUCACCACACAAAACAAAGAGAGAAAUCACAAGAGGGAGUAGAGGAGAAGAAAAAGGUGUGCGCCUGGUUGGCCCGCCGUGCCGUUAGGUCGCGGUGGUUGGCCUGCUCACUCCAACGAACGACGAAUAGCCUGCCGCCUCCGCCUCCGUGAUUACGGGCUUGCUAGUUUAUGCGAGGAGCCACGGCAACCCAUCGUCUCGCCAGCCGCAGGUAAUGGAUUACGAUCCUCACGACUCCUUCACAAUCCAACUUAACCAUAUUUAUUUUUAAUUUAAAAUUAUAUAUUUCAUAAUCCAACUCAGUUCUAUCUAUUUUUAAUUUAAAAUUAUAUAUUAUCUUCGUCCUCCGCUAAUAAGUAACGUUGGUUAUUAGCAACGUUGGUUAGUUUAGUUCAUUUUUUAGCUAGCCAACGUCAGGAUGGAGAGAGUUCGAUCCUUAUUAAAUCUUAAAUUUGCUGGAUUAAAUUAAAAUUUGCUAGGUUAAAUUAAAGUACCCCACAUGUGACGCCGAUGGUGACGCGCUGCGGCGACGACCUGCUGCUUGCACAGCACGGGAGCUGCAGCUACGACAGCGGGGACGACGAGGAAUCUUCACCCACGUUGCCCGCAUGCAGAUGCAGCGCGCGGCCGGCCGCUCCCUUCCGGCGCCUGCGGGGACGACUAAUUUUUCUCUCUCGUUUUUUACCGUCCCCUGCGCCUGUGCAACGCGCACGGGCACGGCGCGGCGCCAUUAACACCCUGUGCGUCGUGUCGGUGCAUCCGGACUCUGGCCGUUAACGAACCCAUCAACUCCAUUCAUGUAGUGGUACAACACGCGCGGCAGUUUUAAAACCAACAGGAAAAAAAAAAGUUUAUGUACGGAUCAGCAUCACCCCACCUUAUUCCACCACUCGUUGUCCUAUAUCCUUUCAGUUUUUAAAGCCUCUUUUCAUUUCCUUUUUCUCUGCUUUAUGUCAUGCGCACCUACCUUUUCUUUUUUCUAAAAAAAAAAGUUUGCUGGCUUUCCGUCGGCUGGAAAUUUUGUUACACGGAACUGAAGUUACAGCGGUUACAGCUGCAGUGACGUGCUAGUGUUUGGAUAUCAGCUAGUCGCAAACAAAUGGCUAAAAAAAGCAACGCAAGUAUCAAUCUCUUGAAUAUUGGAUGCUCGUUUGAUUUCCUCAAUGAACAAUGGGGCACACUGGCUCUGCAUUUUGUUCCGCUGGUGUGGACAGCGUGCCGGAACACACAAGGGCUGAUGGAAUGUCCUAAUGUCAACAGCAGAGUCUAAUUGUCAUGUUUCGCAUUAAAAAGAAGAGUAUGAUCUCUUUAUUACGAAAGUAUUUUUUUUGGGACGCCAUAAAGUAUAGUUAAUUACUUAAAAAAAUUAAAAAAAGAAAACUAGGUAACGGUGAAGGCAUGCUCAUAUAGUCUUAUGAAGUGAUGCUAUGACAUGAAGGUCUCUGCAGUCUACAUACAACAACGACAUUAGGCUAAAAAACAUCCAUCACGAUUAAGAUUGAUAGGUGACGAUGCAUUGAUCUAGGAGUUCUCGUGACCAUUCAGAACUCGUCAAGAUUGUGACCGGGUAACGAGCGGAACUGACGCAUAAAAUGGACUGGGAAUAGCGUGUAUGUAGCCUCGCGCAAGUCAAGAGAGCAGGUGUAGGAUAUAUUGUUUAAGAUUUGUUUUGGUUAUCGAUCAAGUUCUAAACAAAUAAUUAGUAAAAGCAUUAUUACAUUGGAAGCACGCAAUCAUCACUUAAUAUAGACAGUAUAUGACAGAAAAUAUACUAUCUUCCGGGAAAAUUAGGCGAGGAUGAGGGAAUACUCGUACGAAAUGACGACGCUAUCACAGCAACAACUCUUAACAUCGAUAGGUGUCAGUCUAUUGAUCCAUUGGUAACCGCUUGUCAAGACUCAAGACCGUGACCGGGCAACAAGCACAAAAGUAUGACACAAUUUCAAGAACAUAAUGCGGACUUGGAAUAGCUUAGCUUCGUGCAAGUCAAGAACAGGUUCAGGAUGGAUUGGUCUUGAUCCGUGCAGUCUAGUUACAAAAAUAGAGAGAGAGGUGAGAAAUAGCCAAGAAGUUGGCCAAAAGAAGCGAAGUGAUUGCGAGACAAUGGGUAUGAAAUUAAAAGUUAAAAAAAAAUCAAGUGCGGUGAGCGUGGAUCGAACACGCGACCUUCAGAUCUUCAGUCUGACGCUCUCCCAACUGAGCUAUCCCCGCUAUUGUUUAAUUUUUCUGAAAGUAUAUUUAUAUUAAUUAUCUAAUCUCACGCUUGGCGGACUAGGAUAAUGCACGUGGGCCGUUGUAAGAUGUGCGCCCCUAGUUAUGUUGUGGCCCAUCGAGUCCAUUGCUGCCACUUCUGCUGUCAUUAGGCGGCCCAGUCCUUGGCAAUCCGGGACCGUGACGGCUUCCUGGUUCCUGCAACUGAGAAAAGGAAGUAAAAACCAUGGCAGGUAUCGAUCAAACCGCUUUUCUGAUUUUGCCUGCCGCCAGACGGCCGGCCAGGUUUCUCCAGCGCCGACGCCGACGCCGGAGCCCAGGAAGCAAGGAACGUCGCCGAUGACCCCGUGGACCGUGGUUACUGGUACGCAUCGCAUCGACUCUCUCCUCGGCUAUUCUGCACGCGCCGCCUCUGUUUCCAGGCUCCAGUCCUCGGCACAGGCCGCGUUGCCGUUGCUGUUGCGAAUUGGGAAUUUGUGAUCCCCUUCCUUCCCUCCGGGUAUGUAGCAUCUCACCUACCCCCGGUCUGCGUCGGUGCACCAUCAUCAACGUGAAUCGUCGUAGGCCCGUAGCACGUCUCACCAGUUUCUUCGUCAUGAUAAACCUUGGACAACGGCCCCCUGUUGCGUCCUUCUCUCUCACCAAAAGCCUCGAAUAUGUCCAUGCCUCUUUUGCCCUGCACAAAUCUCUCUUUUGAUUUGGAUCUAUGGACUGGCAACAGAUUGAUAUGGAUGUUUAAUCCUUGCUUGUCACUGCACCAAUAACACUCAGAAUUCAGUACUGAAAAGCACAGCAUUUUGCAGGUUCCUGGAUUGGAGUUAACUUUAUUUUCCCCUAUGGUAAACCGGUAACAGCAUAUAAUAUAAUACAUACAGUAUACUACAACAGCCAUACAUUACAUUUGCCACCAUCUAG